UGCCAGCCGCCGCGGUAAUACAUAGGGGUCAAGCGUAGUUCGGAAUUACUGGGCUUAAAGAGUUCGUAGGUGGUUGAAAAAGUUGGUGGUGAAAUCCCAGAGCUUAACUCUGGAACUGCCAUCAAAACUUUUCAGCUAGAGUAUGAUAGAGGAAAAUGGAAUUUCUAGUGGAGAGGUUAAAUUCUUAGAUAUUAGAAAGAAUACCAAUUGCGAAGGCAGCUUUCUGGAUCAUUACUGACACUGAGGAACGAAAGCAUGGGUAGCGAAGAGGAUUAGAUA
rnacentral:rRNA from 1 species